rnacentral:sRNA from 1 species
GCACAAUGUCCUAACCGAAAUCCACAAAUAUGUAGUAGCCUUCCCAUUAGUCAAUACAGACAUGACAAUCCUCUAUUGGCUCAGUGCAAUCUAGUGCCUGUUUUUCUUACGUCCUCCAAUGAACCCAUUUGUUUCUCUUUUUUUUUUUUUUUUCAGUCUGGUUAUGAAGGUCGAGUCCCACUGAAGAGCGCUCGUCUGUUUUACGACAUCAGCGAAAAGGCUCGAAGGAUUGUAGAAUCUUAUUUUAUGCUGAACUCAACUCUGUAUUUUUCCUAUACACACAUGGUCUGCCGAACAGCCCUGUCUGGUCAGCAGGAUAGAAGAAAUGACCUCAGUCAUCCCAUCCAUGCUGACAACUGUUUGUUGGAUCCAGAGGCCAACGAAUGCUGGAAGGAGCCUCCUGCUUACACAUUUCGAGACUAUAGUGCUCUCCUAUAUAUGAAUGAUGACUUUGAAGGAGGAGAAUUCAUAUUCACAGAGAUGGAUGCUAAGACUGUGACUGCCUCUAUAAAACCAAAAUGUGGGCGCAUGAUCAGCUUCUCAUCUGGAG